rnacentral:rRNA from 1 species
AUGGGGGCACAAGACGAGGGUAGCCGGCGGCCGCCGCCGCCAGGGCCCGCCCCUGGCCAGUCCGCCGCAACCGCGGGCACGGCGCCGCCGCCCAUCACCCCAGCCCAGUUCCUCUCCUGGAAGCAGCGGAAGCGGCUAGCUAAAUGCGCUGUGAUCUCAUGGUGGUUUCCCUUGGCUAGACCAUGGAAAUCACUCGUGAUUUGUGGGCUUCUCUCUGGAUGCACGCCCGAUGCAGAAGAAGCUGCAGAGAAAGCUGAAGCAGCUCAGAAGCGAGCCGCGGAUAUAGCUUCAGGUGCAGUGCAAAUGAAUGGCCGAGAGCUGUUCCAGCAUGAACCCUGGGUGUUUGACAACAACAUUUACUGA